AGUGCCGGUUACAAGUUCCAUCAUUUUUCACUGUAAAAUUGCUUUGGAACUUUAACCACCCCAUAUAUAUGUAUGUAGUGGAGUUUGCAACUGAAAAGAAACUUUGUGCUCCCAACAAGCUAGUUGAGAGACGUCUUUCACACACACUUAUCUCU